rnacentral:tRNA from 1 species
UUAUAUAUAGUGUAAUUAACACGCUAACUUUUCAUGUUAGAAAUAUAUCUUAUAUUAUAUCAG